UACGUAGGGCGCAAGCGUUGUCCGGAAUUAUUGGGCGUAAAGAGCUCGUAGGCGGUUUGUCGCGUCUGUCGUGAAAGCCCACGGCUUAACCGUGGGUCUGCGGUGGAUACGGGCAGACUAGAGGCAGGUAGGGGAGAAUGGAAUUCCCGGUGUAGCGGUGAAAUGCGCAGAUAUCGGGAGGAACACCGGUGGCGAAGGCGGUGCUCUGGGCCUGUACUGACGCUGAGGAGCGAAAGCGUGGGGAGCGAACAGG
rnacentral:rRNA from 1 species